rnacentral:rRNA from 1 species
AGAGUUUGAUCCUGGCUCAGAACGAACGCUGGCGGCGUGGAUAAGACAUGCAAGUCGAACGGGAAACACGAAUAGCUUGCUAAUUGUGUUUCUAGUGGCGAAUGGGUGAGUAUCACGUGAGCAAUCUGCCCGGAAGCGGGGCAUAGCCUGAGGAAACUCGGAUUAAUACCGCAUGACAUUCCUCCUAGCAUUAGGAGAGGAUUAAAGGUGGGGACCCUUCGGGGCCUGCCACUUCCGGAUGAGCUCGCGGCCUAUCAGCUUGUUGGUGAGGUAAUAGCUCACCAAGGCGACGACGGGUAGCUGGUCUGAGAGGAUGGUCAGCCACACUGGAACUGAGACACGGUCCAGACACCUACGGGUGGCAGCAGUCGAGAAUCAUUCGCAAUGGACGAAAGUCUGACGGUGCGACGCCGCGUGGAGGAUGACGGUCUUCGGAUUGUAAACUCCUGUCAUCAGGGAGUAAUGUUGUAUUGGUUAAUAACCUUUACAGUUGAUAGUACCUGAAGAGGAAGAGACGGCUAACUCUGUGCCAGCAGCCGCGGUAAUACAGAGGUCUCAAGCGUUGUUCGGAUUUACUGGGCGUAAAGCGUGCGUAGGCGGCGAGGUAAGUCAGAUGUGAAAGCUCAGGGCUCAACCCUGAAAUUGCAUCCGAUACUGCCUUGCUAGAGUAAUGGAGGGGAGUCUGGAAUUCAUGGUGUA